UUAUUUUUAAUUUGGACGUUUAAUACCUCUAGUAUUUAAUUUGGAAGAAAAAUACCUUAAUUAAUUUUGGUUACCUAUCAAAAAGUUGGUAUAAUCGUACCUCCGAGUUAACUUCCGUCAACUACCCUAACGGAAACAUAUUCGUAUAAUCAAGAAAAGCGAUUGUACUUAUUUACAUAAUUAACAUGAGUUAAGUUUUAACCACAGUUAACAAUUCCGUUAGGGUAGUUAACGGAAGUUAACUCGAAGGUAAGAUUAUACCAACUUUUUAAAAAACGAAAGUUUUAAUAAGUAACCAAAAUUAACUAAGGUGUUUUUCUUCCAAAUUAAAUAGUAGAGGUAUUAAACG